rnacentral:rRNA from 1 species
AUGCCGCGUGAGGGAUGAAGGCCUUUGGGUUGUAAACCUCUUUUGUCAGGGAAGAAAAU